CACAACCUGUACAGGUGACGGUCGGUACGGGUGAGUUCGACCUGAAGAACGCGUCAACAUGGAUGUGGUGUCACCAUUGUGCCGACGAACUGGAUGAAGUAACCGGUGCCCAAACCAAACCCUUCUGUACAGAGAACGAGUGGGAUUUCGAUACGGCCAUGAAACAGUGCCCCAGCAAGUACUGCCAAGUCAGUAUGCGGCGUUUCUCCAAACGAGUCAGCGACUAUCCCACCGUCAUCAACCAUAGGGCGUUUCGCACGAUCCGCUCCUGCCCACAGAACCGUUCCACGAUGUAUGGCCUAACCGAGGAGGAGCGUGACGCCUUGUGGGACCGCCGAACGGGUGUAGCCCCGUGGGUGUGCCGGAACGACCAGGACUGGGGUGAACCUAAUCCCAAUGAGUACGCCGAUUUUUUCUGCAUCUGCAAGGGACAGCACUGCAACUGGUGGGGCAGCAAGGUGCGCGAUCUGGUCAUACUGCCACGGAUAAAAACGAGUGUUCAGUUGAUCACCACAAACAGACGGCCGUUUAUCCGUAACUCCCCUUCCGGAAACGGUACCGGAUCCCUUCGACGUCAACAACGCGUCCACGUGGUCCAUGUGCCCGACUUGUUGGUACGAGCACGAUGAAGACCGGAACGUCAUCGGCCUGAACUACGACUGCAUGUACAGCCAGAUGCCGAACAAAACCCUUGGCAGCAGUAUACCGGUUGCCUGUGCCAGCAAAUACUGCGAGGUCAGCAUGGGACAAUUUCAGCGGUGGACAGACAACUACCCCAAUCCCGACUACAAGCGCACCUAUUUCACCACAAAUCGCUACUGCCCGGUCAAGAACCCGAGCUACAACAUCAUGACGGAGGCGCAGCGUGACGCCAUGUGGGCACUGCGGGAGAAGCCGUCCACUCCCUGGGUGUGCAAAUAGGUGUAUAUUAGCCCGUGGGUCGAAGGGCACGGUUCAUGGUUCUGUAUCUGCCGCGGAGCAACGUGCAGUUCACCCAACGGCGUCGCCGAUCUGCGCUACCUGCCACGCCUGCCUAUCGACGUCACACUCGUUACCAGCGCCUCCACCGUCAGGGUCACCACUACCACCACCACCACCCUACGGCCGGUGACCCCCACCACGGCAUCGGCAUGGUACACGACUGAGGACGAUUCCGAUCCAAAUAUCUGGAUGUUUCAGAAAGAAGAGGAUGCCGUCGAGGGCUUGUAGCGAUGAUAUCAACGAAAUAUCUGCCUGUUUAUGUACCUACAAAUUCUCGUAUUAUACUAACCGGCUUAUUGUGGUUGUACAAACAAGGAUAUAAUUAUAAUUAUGCAAUAUAAUUGCUAUAUGGUAUAUUGAAUACCAUACGGUACAAAGUGAAAUGCAAGACAUAUUAACAAAAAAUCGCACUAUCUGUUUUUGCCCGCGUAAAUAACUUUACCGAUAUCGUAUUUGUGUACAUGUAGACCUCGUAGUGUAUUUGUUUUAUG